rnacentral:rRNA from 1 species
UACAGAGGGUGCGAGCGUUAAUCGGAUUUACUGGGCGUAAAGGGCGCGUAGGCGGUUUAAUGAGUGUGAUGUGAAAGCCCUGGGCUCAACCUAGGAAGUGCAUCGCAAACGAUUGAACUGGAGUAUAUGAGAGGGUGGUGGAAUUUCCGGUGUAGCAGUGAAAUGCGUAGAGAUCGGAAAGAACGUCGAUGGCGAAGGCAGCCACCUGGCAUAAUACUGACGCUGAGGCGCGAAAGCGUGGGGAUCAAAC